rnacentral:rRNA from 1 species
CCUACGGGCGGCUGCAGUGGGGAAUAUUGCACAAUGGGCGCAAGCCUGAUGCAGCCAUGCCGCGUGUGUGAAGAAGGCCUUCGGGUUGUAAAGCACUUUCAGCGGGGAGGAAGGCGUUAAGGUUAAUAACCUCAUCGAUUGACGUUACCCGCAGAAGAAGCACCGGCUAACUCCGUGCCAGCAGCCGCGGUAAUACGGAGGGUGCAAGCGUUAAUCGGAAUUACUGGGCGUAAAGCGCACGCAGGCGGUCUGUCAAGUCGGAUGUGAAAUCCCCGGGCUCAACCUGGGAGCUGCAUUCGAAACUGGCAGGCUAGAGUCUUGUAGAGGGGGGUAGAAUUCCAGGUGUAGCGGUGAAAUGCGUAGAGAUCUGGAGGAAUACCGGUGGCGAAGGCGGCCCCCUGGACAAAGACUGACGCUCAGGUGCGAAAGCGUGGGGAGCAAACAGGAUUAGAUACCCCUGUAGUC